rnacentral:lncRNA from 1 species
UUCCUAAAUUGGUUUAGGUCAAAGUGUUUGAGCUAACCUAGACCAGUUGCCUUUGACCUAAUAGGAUUGGGUCAAUUUAGAUUGGAUCCUUAUUCAACUUAAAAUAAUUUCAAGUGGAGAAGGACUCCUCUGUGCCCACUUGAAGCUAUGCCAAAAAUAAAUGCCGCCCCACCUCUUUUCAGCAUGUGAAGUUGGAAAGUCCUUCUUCAUGAAGGCUCUUAACUAAUACGCAUUAUCUUAAAUUCUCAACCAGAUAUCCAUUGAUUUGUCACCAAAAUUAAGCAAAAUUUUUAUGGCACAUAGAAGAGGAAGAGUCCUUAUAUUGUAAGUAUCUCAUGCAUCAAAAAUUCCACAUGGUAAAUUUAUUCACUACAUGAGAAGUUAGAGCGCCAA